AGUGGAAUCACUGGGUCACAUGGUAGCCCUUUUUUAAAACAUUUUUUUAGCAACCGCCAUACUAUUUUGCACAAUGGAUGUGCCAUCUUACAUUCCCAUCAGUAGU
rnacentral:pre_miRNA from 1 species